rnacentral:rRNA from 1 species
AGUGAACGCUGGCGGUAGGCCUAACACAUGCAAGUCGAACGGCAGCACAGUAAGAGCUUGCUCUUACGGGUGGCGAGUGGAGGACGGGUGAGGAAUACAUCGGAAUCUACUUUUUCGUGGGGGAUAACGUAGGGAAACUUACGCUAAUACCGCAUACGACCUACGGGGGAAAGCAGGGGAUCUUCGGACCUUGCGCGAUUGAAUGAGCCGAUGUCGGAUUAGCUAGUUGGCGGGGUAAAGGCCCACCAAGGCGACGAUCCGUAGCUGGUCUGAGAGGAUGAUCAGCCACACUGGAACUGAGACACGGUCCAGACUCCUACGGGAGGCAGCAGUGGGGAAUAUUGGACAAUGGGCGCAAGCCUGAUCCAGCCAUACCGCGUGGGUGAAGAAGGCCUUCGGGUUGUAAAGCCCUUUUGUUGGGAAAGAAAAGCAGCAGGUUAAUACCCCGCUGUUCUGACGGUACCCAAAGAAUAAGCACCGGCUAACUUCGUG